UAAAGGCUGCUAGGGCUGAGAAUGGGGGGAGUAAAGGCUGCUAGGGCUGAGAAUGGGGGGAGUAAAGGCUGCUAGGACCUAGACUGGGAUGAGUAAAGGCGGCUAGGGCCGUGAAUGGGGGGAGUAGACUAGACUAGAAUAGACCUAGACUGGGAUGAGUAAGGACUGCUAGGACCGAGACUCGGAUGAGUAAAGACUGCUAGGACCCAGACUGGGAUGAGCAAGGGCUGCUAGGACCUCGACUGGGAUGAGUAAGGGCUGCUAGGGCUGAGACUGGGAUGAGUAAGGGCUGCUAGGACCCAGACUGGGAUGUGUAAGGGCUGCUAGGACCGAGACUGGGAUGAGGAAGGGCUGCUAGGACCUCGACUGGGAUGUGUAAGGGCUGCUAGGACCUCGACUGGGAUGUGUAAGGGCUGCUAGGACCGAGACAGGGAUGAGUAAGGGCUGCUAGGACCUCGACUGGGAUGUGUAAGGGCUGCUAGGACCUCGACUGGGAUGUGUAAGGGCUGCUAGGACCUCGACUGGGAUGAGUAAGAGCUGCUAGGACCGAGACUGAGAUGAGUAAGGCCUGCUAGGACCGAGACUGGAAUGAGUAAGGGCUGCUAGGACUGAGACUGAGAUGAGUUAGGGCUGCUAGGACCGAGAGUGGGAUGAGUAAGGGCUGCUAGGACGGAGACUGGGAUGAGUAAGAGCUGCUAGGACUGAGAGUGGGAUGAGUAAGGGCUGCUAGGACGGAGACUGAGAUGAGUAAGAGCUGCUAGGACCGAGACUGAGAUGAGUAAGGCCUGCUAGGACCGAGACUGGAAUGAGUAAGGCCUGCUAGGACCGAGACUGGAAUGAGUAAGGGCUGCUAGGACUGAGACUGAGAUGAGUUAGGGCUGCUAGGACCGAGAGUGGGAUGAGUAAGGGCUGCUAGGACGGAGACUGGGAUGAGUAAGAGCUGCUAGGACUGAGAGUGGGAUGAGUAAGGGCUGCUAGGACGGAGACUGAGAUGAGUAAGAGCUGCUAGGACCGAGAGUGGGAUGAGUAAGGGCUGCUAGGACGGAGACUGGGAUGAGUAAGAGCUGCUAGGACUGAGACUGAGAUGAGUAAGAGCUGCUAGGGCCGAGACUGGGAUGAGUAAGAGCUGCUAGGACGGAGACUGGGAUGAGUAAGGGCUGCUAGGACUGAGACUGAGAUGAGUAAGAGCUGCUAGGACUGAGACUGAGAUGAGUUAGGGCUGCUAGAACCGAGACUGGGAUGAGUAAGGGCUGCUAGGACCGAGAAUGAGAUGAGUAAGAGCUGCUAGGACUGAGACUAGGAUGAGUAAGGGCUGUUCUGACCUCGACUGAGAUGAGUAAGAGCUGCUAGGACCGAGACUGGGAUGAGUAAGGGCUGCUAGGACCGAGACUGAGAUGAGUAAGAGCUGCUAGGACCGAGACUGGGAUGAGUAAGAGCUGCUAGGACUGAGACUGGGAUGAGUAAGAGCUGCUAGGACCGAGACUGGGAUGAGUAAGGGUUGCUAGGACCGAGACUGGGAUGAGUAAGAGCUGCUAGGACCGAGAGUGGGAUGAGUAAGGGCUGCUAGGACUGAGACUGGGAUGAGUAAGGGUUGCUAGGACCGAGACUGGGAUGUGUAAGGGCUGCUAGGACUGAGACUGGGACGAGUAAGGGCUGCUAGGACUGAGACUGGGAUGAGUAAGGGCUGCUAGGACUGAGACUGGGAUGAGUAAGGGCUGCUAGGACUGAGACUGGGAUGAGUAAGAGCUGCUAGGACCGAGAGUGGGAUGAGUAAGGGCUGCUAGGACGGAGACUGGGAUGAGUAAGAGCUGCUAGGACUGAGACUGAGAUGAGUAAGAGCUGCUAGGGCCGAGACUGGGAUGAGUAAGAGCUGCUAGGACGGAGACUGGGAUGAGUAAGGGCUGCUAGGACUGAGACUGAGAUGAGUAAGAGCUGCUAGGACUGAGACUGAGAUGAGUUAGGGCUGCUAGAACCGAGACUGGGAUGAGUAAGGGCUGCUAGGACCGAGAAUGAGAUGAGUAAGAGCUGCUAGGACUGAGACUAGGAUGAGUAAGGGCUGUUCUGACCUCGACUGAGAUGAGUAAGAGCUGCUAGGACCGAGACUGGGAUGAGUAAGGGCUGCUAGGACCGAGACUGAGAUGAGUAAGAGCUGCUAGGACCGAGACUGGGAUGAGUAAGAGCUGCUAGGACUGAGACUGGGAUGAGUAAGAGCUGCUAGGACCGAGACUGAGAUGAGUAAGAGCUGCUAGGACCGAGACUGGGAUGAGUAAGUGCUGCUAGGACCUCGACUGGGAUGAGUAAGAGCUGCUAGGACGGAGACUGGGAUGAGUAAGGGCUGCUAGGACCGAGAGUUAGAUGAGUAAGAGCUGCUAGGUCUGAGACUGGGGUGAGUAAUGGCGACUAGGGCUGAGAAUUGGAUGACAAUUGUGGAAUUAGUUUUAGAGAAACUUUGUGUUCAUGAUUGAUCAGGGAAACCAUUUAUUCAGGGAUUAUUCCAGGAACGUGCUAAGAUUGUGAAGUCAUUGGCUACAUAGUUAAUAUAUGUAUACGCGAUCCCCGGUGUCUUGCAAAUUUAGCUGAUUUAGCACGUUAACAUGUUGCAGAACAAACAUGAUACACCAGCAAGGAUUUACCGGACGCGAAAUCCUGAAUCCUUUACGCAUACAAAUUAAACACGGACGCAAAACAAUACAGAGUACAUCCACAGGGACGCAUAAAAUAGGUAUGAAUGCUGUUAUUUCACAAUUUAGUACCACGUAAAAUAUAUCAUUUUGUAAAUAAAUUACACAGGCGACCGCUUCACGAUCUCCCAGCUCUAGUACUUUUAGAUUCGUUUCAGAACACCAUAUGUGUUAUAACUAACGGCUUCCGAGCAUGCGCAGUCUUACGUCACAUGUGGUCGAGUACUGUUUACCUUUUUUUCACCUUGGAACAAAAGUAGAAAGUUCAGUGACCUAUUUGAGAAUGUUCCUACACUAGUUUACCGGUACGGCAAAGGAGAUACAUCUUGACUAUUGCUGUCUGCGGCAUCAUUUGACAAUUGCCGUGUGAGAAAAAGUGCCCUCGAUAACCCAGUGCAUUAUUACUCUUGACUAUAAUGAUAAUAACCUUGUAUCACACCCUCGAUUAUCCAGUGUCCACUAUAUCCAUACAAUAGUGAAAUGUACCCGGGACCAACCAUUGCUCCGUUUGGGAGUGACGUCACGGUCACGGAAAGGGUCGAAUGAGGACGAAUCAAAUCAAAAUGACUCUUCGGAACGAAUUUCCGUCUCUGACUGAACGGGUUUCAAAUCUAUAAAGUGACCCUACAAUACUGGGCACCGACCAACCUCUGUGUUGAAUCAGGAACGAAUAACCGCCAUUAGUUAAUUACAUGUUGCCACUUCUGAAUCUCGAAGCGAUUAUUUUUUGUCAAAAUAUAUGUAUAAUCAAGACUGUACAUAAUGUGAAUGAAAUUUUAUGUGAACUA